CUCAGGAAGGCGGGGUCUCUCCCACCUCCGCCCGGGGUCUGGUCUGACAGGCGUUCUAGUUCGGGCUUUCAUUCCUGCCAAGGAGCAGCUGAUCUUCAACAUCCAGCAUGCCCCAAGACCUGCCACUUCUGAGCUGUAUCAGGACACCUGCUGCUUCCUGCUGUGUCUGGUAGACCUGGCUGGUGUGGGCAUGCGCUCUCUACCCGGGUCAUCUCAGUGCACCAGCCCUAAGCCCCUGUCUCAUGCACCGAACCUGAACUGACAAUCUAUUUCAUAUAUGGGUCAUCGUUAUCAUCUGUCUAAAUUCCAUGCUGCUAAGUUGCUUCAGUCGUGUCCAACUCUGUGCGACCCCAUCGACGGAAGCCCACUAGGCUCCACCGCGCCUGGAAUUCUCCAGGCAAGAACACUGGAGUGGGUUGCCAUUUCCUUCUCCAAUGCAUGAAAGUGAAAAGUGAAAAAGAAGUCGCUCAGUCAUGUCCAACUCUUAGCGACCCCAUGGACUACAGCCUACCAGGCUCCUCCAUCCAUGGGAUUUUCCAGGCAAGAGUACUGGAGUGGGGUGCCAUUGCCUUCUCCGCUAAAUUCCAUAUAUAUGUGUUAAUAUACUGUACUGGUGUUUUUCUUUCUGACUUACUUCGCUCUGUAUGAUAAGCUCCAGUUUCAUCCACUUCAUUAGAACUGAUUCAAAUGCAUUCUUUUUAAUAGCUGAGUAAUAUUCCAUUGUGUUUAUGUACCACAGCUUGCUUAUCCAUUCGUCUGCUGAUGGACAUCUAGGUUGCUUCCAUGUCCUGGCUAUUGUAAACAGUGCUGUGAUGAACAUUAGGGUAUACGUGUCUCUUUCAAUUUAUAGAUGAAUAUUUUAGCGGGCUUUCGAAAAGGAAAAAGUCACAAAGGGCCAUUCACCCAGGCCACCACCUAGGAAGGACCCUGGCUGGAGUCAGCGAGCCACGCCCUCACUCACACUGGGUCUGGUCAGAGUAGGGAGGCGAUGGAACACCCAGAGAUGCCGUGGAGGCACGGAAUAGGGAGGUCCGGUGCAAGGGCGCUGGGCCGUUAAUUAAAGAUGUCCCACUUAGUGCCCUGGCAGGGAGGACUGACACAGUCCGGAUUCGAGCAGAAGCCAGGUGGUGACGACUGGACAGGGCGA
ensembl:lncRNA